AGGCCUAGUCUCGCGAGCAGACGUGGGAGGGGGGGAACCUCUAGGACAAGUCUGCUCGCGAGACUAGGCCUAGGGUGGGGCUCAUUUAUCCCAAAUCUAGCUUUGAGCUUUGUGGCAAAAGAGGUGCAGGUUGUCGGUUGUCAUGGACGAGAAGGAAAGAUAGAAAAUUUUGCCAUGUCUUGCCAACACUGCCACGUACAUCUGGUCAAAUGGGAACAAAGAAGAAAUUUGCCUGAGUCACCGAGACGUUCAUGUGACCAAAAUUUUACCAUACAUGGCCUAUAUUCAAUAGUUUUGAACCGAGUUCAAGACAAUCGUCAGUAUUGAAAAAGAUGUGAGUGUCCAAUCAAUCAUUAAUGGAGAACUGGGACUCAUGGAUUAUUGCAUAUUCAGGUUAGAGAUGGCGACAAGGGAAAAAAUUGAUAGCGAGGGUUCUUCAGAUGAUAUCAAGAAUUCAGACGAUCUUUGUGAAUGAAAAACGAAUGGGAGCACCUACCUUGUUGUUUGCCAUACCAGUGCAGACUGUAUUUUCUAUGUGAUGUUGAACAAGAGCCAACGUGCGAGCUAAGUGUAUUCUUUGGACUCAACGAACAAAAUUGAACCCUUUGGCACAUGUAUAAUUAUAAUCUCAUUUUAGUGCUGCUAUGAUGUUUUGUGGAUGUGUUUUAACUUGAUACAGCUGUGAUCAUGUGAAUGCAGGUU